UACAGAGGUGAAUGAGCAUAGAAGAAUGGCACCAGAUCCAGAAAGCUACUAUUUUCAGCCUAACCAGAAAAAGAAAUCCUUGCCACAUUAUGAUACCUCCGAGGAAGCCUUGUUAGAUGAAAUAGAGAAAGAAUUUGAUUUGUGAUAAAUUGUUAAAUCAUUCCAGAUUAUGACAUCAUUCUUUGCCUACCAUAAUGACAUCAUUCUUCGCCUACAAUAAUGACAUCAUUCUUCGCCUACAAUAAUGACAUCAUUCUUCGCCUAUGAUAAUGACAUCAUUCUUCACCUAUGAUAUAUUACUCUCAUAGUCAAUCAUGAUAUUUCAUCAAUUUUAAUUUUUUAUGACAUAUCAUUGUUUUGUUUGUUAUUUUAAAAUUUAUAAUAUGAUUUCAACGUAUGAAUAUAUGUAUGGUAUGUAGUAUCAUGAAAUUACAAUAUCUAAUUAAAUGAAUCAUGAAAUAACAAUACCUGAUUGAGGUAUCAAAAUGAAGGAUAAUUGUAAUUGAAGUUGGAUACAGAGGACAGGUCAGGAUAUCACAAAUGAUGUAUAUUUUAUGUAUAUAAAAAUUGAUAUCAUGUCCAGAUAGUGAUAUCAUUUUCAGUGUAGGAUAUCAAACAGAAUAAUUACAUGAUAUAAUGACAUAGAUUAUGAUAUCAUUAUCAAUGUAUGAUAUUGUAUACAAUAUAUGAUAUCAUUAACAGGAUUAUGAUAUCAUUAUCAAGGCAUGAUAUCAUAUACAAUAUUUGUUAUCAUGAACUAGAUUAUGAUAUCAUUAUCAAUGUAUGAUAUCAUAUACAAUAUAUGAUAUUAUGAACUAGAUUAUGAUAUCAUUAUCAAUGUAUGAUAUCAUACAAAUAUAAAUAUGAUAUUAUGAACUAGAUUAUGAUAUCAUUAUCAAUGUAUGAUAUCAUACAAACAAUAUAAUAUCAAGAAUAUCCCAGUAUGGGAUAAACUGUCUACUUAUUACAGCAUGUAUUUAGUGAUGUAUAUAUUGAUAUCAUGAAAUACCAUGAUAUUGUCUGUGUGUGAUAUCAUUGUACAGAAUGUGAUAUGAUGGCAGCCAUAGUUAUGUACAUUGUGAUUAUACCAUACCAUGAUAUUGUACAUGUAUAUAGUAUACAUGUAUAUGGUAUCAGGUAUAUUUGUCAUGAUACAUUUUUAACUGUGAUAUCAGACAUUAAACCAUGAUAUUAUGAGUGAUAUCAGGAAAAUCUGUGUUAUUUUAUGAUUUAACAGUAUGUAUUUUUAAGGUUAUACCAUAUUUAAUAGCUAGGAUAUCAUGUUUUAACACUCUAAAUGUUCUGAUAUAAAGAUUUUUUUAUUUUAAGAUACCAUCUUUGUUAGCACAAAGAUAACAACUUUUUUUAUGUGAAAUAUUGCAGUCAACUUUGAUCUUUAAUUCCUAUCUUUCAAAUUGUUUGAUUUAUUUUAGGCAUUAUGUAAUGAUUGUCACAGAAAUAAUAAAUUUAAUAUGUAAGUUUUAAGACAGGUCUAAAUGUUUGUAUAUAUUAUUAUACAGUUAGAUAAUUAUAAUAUUUAGUAUAAUAAUGGACUGGUGGAGAAUUUUUUUUUACAGAAUCAGAAUGUGAUAUAUUUUUGUAUAAAGUAAGAACAAUUUUAAUAGAAAAUCAGAGUAGCCUUAGUCAUCAGUAUUUUUGAUUUUGAAAUCCCUAACAUUUAGAUAAACUGUUCAAUAUUCAGAGCUUGGCAAAUCCAUUAUACAAAUAAAGGCAUACUUACCAUGGUUAACGCAUAAUAAUUUGUACUUUAAGUCAGGGGAACAAAUAUUUUAUAAAUUGGUGAUAUUUUGUUUUUAGCCAGUAGAUUUAUUUUAUUGGUAUUGAAAUAUAUAUAUUCAUAAUUAAUGACCAUAAUGGCAUGUGAUAUGAACAAACUGUUCUAAAAUUCUCUUGUGUUCUGUAUAUUUGUAUUCUGAUUUAUUAGUCCCCUACCGGUUUACCGGAGGGGACUUUAGGUUUACCCUCCGUCCGUCUGUCCGUCCGUCUGUCUGUCCGAGCCAACAUUUGAUUAUUAUGAGCUUCAUUCCGUAGUUAAAUAAAGAACAUAAACUCAUAAAAUUUAAAAUUAAGAGCUAUUUUUUGUUUUUAUGAGCUUAUUUUGCUUAUGGACGUUGGUCCAGGUGGUGUUUAUGAGCUCAUUUGCCUCAUAAACAUCAAAUUUUGGUACGUCCGUCCGUCAGUCCGUCCGUCCACAAAACUGGAUCCCGCGAUAACUUGAAAAGUACUGAAAAUAUUUUUAUGAAAAUUGGUAUAUGGAUAGAUGGCAGUCUUGGAAUUAUGCACGUCUUUUUUUUUUCUUCCUAUGUUGAAAAUUCUGGUUGCUAUGGCAACAAAUAGGCUAAAAAUAUGGCAAAUUUUACACAUAAACUGGAUCCAGUGAUAACGCAAAAAGUACUGUAAAUAUUUUUAUGAAACUUGACAUAUGGGUAGAUGGCAGUCUUGGAAUUAUGCACGUCUUUUUCUUUUCUUCCUAUGUUGAAAAUUCUGGUUGCUAUGGCAACAAAUAGGCUGAAAAUAUGGCAAAUUUUACACAUAAAUAACGCAAAAAGUACUGGAAAUAUUUUUAUGAAACUUGACAUAUGGGUAGAUGGCAGUCUUGGAAUUAUGCACUUCUUUUUCUUUUCUUCCUAUGUUGAAAUUCUGGUUGCUAUGGCAACAAAUAGGCUGAAAAUAUGGCAAAUUUUACACAUAAACUGGAUCCAGUGAUAAAGCAAAAAGUCCUGGAAAUAUUUUUAUGAAAACUGACAUAUGGGUAGAUGGCAGUCUUGAGAUUAUGCACGCCUUUUUCUUUUCUUCCUAUGUUGAAAAUUCUGGUUGCUAUUGGCAACACAUAGACUGAAAAUAUGGCAAAUUUUACACAUAAACUGAAUCCAGUGAUAUCUCAAAAAGUACUGGAAAUAUUUUUUAUGAAACUUGACAUAUGGGUAGAUAGCAGUGUUGAGAUUAUACAUGUCUUAUCUGUUCUUCCUAUUUUUGAAAAAAUAUCAGUUGCCUUGGCAACAAAUAGGCUUAAAACAUGGCAAAUAUAACAAUAAUUUGUGAUUAGUCAAAAAGAGCUGAAAAUUUUUAUGAAAUUGCAUCUUUAUUUCAAGAGUUAUCUCCUCUUUAAGAAUUUUGCUUUUAAAAUGUUAUAUUUUGGUAACAGGGAUGUUUCAAAUAUUAACUUUAGAGUGUCCUUCAGUCCGUCUGUCUGUUCAUAAAAACUGUUUCCUGUGAUCACUUUUAAAGAACUUUUCCAACAAGUUUACUUAAAAUAGAGAAAAAUUGAAACAUUAGUGAAUGGCCAAUGGCCCUUCAGAAUGUUGAUGGGGUUCUAACCGGUAGGGGACUUAUGGAUUGCUUGCAAUACUAUGAUAAUUGCUUGUUUAUUUUAAUUGUUGCUCUGUGACAAGAAGGAAACUUUGUAAAGCAUUUUAUUUAUUGUUUAGUGAUUGUAAUUAUUUAUUUAAGUUACACAAUUUAUGUAAAUAAUGGUUUAAGAAAAUUAUAUAUCAGGGACAAAUUUUGUGGUAAAAAACUACAGGUCUAUUUUCUCAACACAAUUCAUUGUUAAUAAAAAAUUAGAAACCAUGGGAACAGAAAUUGCUCAAAGUGCAUUCAUCAGGUCAUUGUCAAUAAUAACUUUUAUUUCCAAUAAUUUCUUACAUUAUACUUGUCCUUUCUGUCAAGAUAAGUUUGGAAGUGGUUUUAUUUUGUGAUUUUUUUCUAUGUAAGGAAAUUGUGUAAAAAAAGACAAAACCAAUCCAAUUGUUUCCGUUGUAAUAUUUCAAACUAUGUGCUGAAUAUGUAUAUAUGCUUUACUUUGUAUAUGUAAAUGAAAUUUGGGAUAAACAUGAACUUGACUUUACAUAAAGGCAAUUGAAAGGAAAAGUUUUUUUUUACUACUUUCUGUGUUAAGAUAUGAAGCAGCAUAUUGUUUGACCAGUGAUUAUUUCCUGUUCAAAUUUAUUAAAGGUGUACAUUUGAGAAACUGUACUCUAUGUGUCUGCCACACCUAGCGAAAUAUUUUGACAUCUAUCUCACUUUUAAGCUUUUGUGUCUCUAUUUUAAAUUACAUUUAAGAUUUUAUUUAGUAAUAUUUUCUUUUUCUUUUAAGUUUGACUAUUUUAUAAUGUUGAAAAAGUUCUACAUGAAUAAGUUUGAACAGUUAUUUGAGAAAUAAUAUUUUGUUCUAGAACAGUUUUUAUCUGUUAUAUGAAGAUUACGAUGUAAGAUUUGUAAAAUUUGAUCAUGUAUCUGACACAAACAAUAUCCAUAUAUAAUUCUUUUGGAGUUUGUAUUCAUGUAUUAUGUAAACUCUAUCAACAUAAUUGUUAAUGAUAUAUUAAAAUAAAAAGCAGCCAUGUUUUUUUAUGUUAAUCCCAAUUUUCAGUUAUUUCCUUUGCUUAACUAGAUGUAGAUUUUUUUUAUUUAUUUAUUUAUUUACCUCUUUAGAGAGGAAAAUUUACUUGUUACACUGUCCCUUAUUUAUCAGUUUGCAGCACCUUCUUGACAGUAUCUUUGAAUUAUUUCCAGAUUUCAACGAAACUUUGUUAUGAAUAUUAAGUGUUGUUCGGAUGAAAUGUUUAUUGAUGUCCAAAAAAACUGCUUUUUACAUUUGCAAACCAUUAACAUUCCAUUCUAUUUAUAGUACGAGAGCAUGAUGUGUUAUUUUAAACAAAUCAUUUCAUUAUCAUAAAAAUGUUGCCUCAUUUUCAAUUAAUUUUAACCUCUGACCUUUCAUGCAAUUUUCACAUGUAUACAAGUUUGUAGGUAAAAAUCCUUAUUCUGCACAUUUUCAAGGUCACAAUUUAGUUCUGAAGGUCACAUAAUCACCUAACAAGGUUACAUUUAUGACAUUGUCAUAAUCUUCAAGGGCGUAUGACCACAAAUCAGGUUCAUAUUAUACUGUCUUCACUUUUUAAAAGUCACAUGAUCACAGCAAUACUGUCCUCCAUUUUCAAAGGUCACAUGACCGCAAAUCAAGUUCACAUUAUACUGUCUUCACUUUUUAAAAGUCACAUGAUCACGGCAAUGCAAAAACUUAUAUAAAUCUCAAGUAGAAAAAGGUUAAACAAUGGAGUUAUCUCCCCUUAUGUGUAAGAGAGAAAUUGAUGAAUAAUUUUUUAAGUGAGAUAUGGUUUAAAAAUUACUUUUUGUUUAAAAACCAUUUUAAUUUCUAAAAAACAAAAAUCACUAAAUCUAAAGAAUUUUGUAUUUAUUUUUCAGUGUUUUAAGUAUUUAUAAUGUACAUAAUUAUAAUGUACAAGUUUUCUGUGAUACAUCAGAUAUCAUAGUAUUGAUAUUUGAGCCGCGUCACGACAAAACCAACGUAAUGCGUUUGCGACCAGCAUGGAUCCAGACCAGCCUGCCCAUCCGCGCAGGCUGAUUAGGAUCCAUGCUAAUCACUUACCAACCCUUUUACAAGUAUAGAAACUUAAAGCGAACAGCAUGGAUCCUGAUCAGACUGCGCGUAUCGCAGGCUGGUCUGGAUCCAUGCUGGUCGCAAACCCUUUAUGUUGGUUUUUUUUUGUCAUGACACGGCUCAUUUAUUUUCAUAGUUACAAGUUCAGGAGAACAUGGUUAUUUUACUAUAAGUAUCUCUAAAUUCAGCCAAGAAAUAUUAUUACUUAUCUUGUAUUGACUAAACCCUUUAACCUGUGAUAAGCCUUUGCCACAGGUAUAUAGCCAGGCCAGCCUACACAUCUGUGAAGUCUUACUUGAGGACUGUUGGUAACUCUAAUAUUUGUAUUUUGAUAUUGAAAUCCCUUGAAUUUUUAAUGUACCUUUCAACUUAAAAGCUGGGCAAACCCAUUACAAAAAAAUUUUAGGUUUAGAGUUAGGGUACUUAAAGAUAUACUAUGCUCAAAUUUGAUAGAAGAAAAUAUUGAUAAUUGCUAUAUAGUCUUUUUGUAAAUACACAUGUAUAAAAUAAACAGGUUUUGACUUCACACAAAGUAGAUCUGUUAUGUUUAAAAUUCUACACACUAUAAGGUAUUAAUAUAGUGUCAUCAAAAAAAAAUGGCAGUAGAAAGGACCAACUUUUCUUGACUUGUAAUAGGAAACACAGCUUCCCAUACAUAAUUAUUCAUUCUUUUAUUCAAAUUAGACAUAUUCAGUAAGAAUUUCUGUGAUUAAAAUAUUUUAGGGGGUUUUAGGAUGAUCAGAGUAUAUCUUUAACAUUUUGUGAUGUCACUUUUCAUUGGAUAAAAGAGAGAUUCACAAAACCAAUAACCAAUGCUGUAAAAUUUAUGAAGCAAUUUUUAUUUUUCCGCAAAUGAAUAGUUGUAAGUUUUGAGAAGAAAAAUAUUUUCUCUGUAUUGUACCACUGAAAAUGUGAAAAAUAAGAAAAAUCCAGGAUUUGGAUAGAUAGGCUAAGCAUAAAUUUGAUUAGGUAGGCCAAGUGUAAAUCAUAUAAUAAUAAAAAUUGUGAUAACUAUUGUAAUAAAAAAUGAUAUAUCAUUUACAUGUAUAUAGAAUUAUAUUCAGAAACCACCUGCCGUACUGUGAUAUGUUUUGUUGUGUUUUCGUUUUUCUGUCCAAUAUUUUGCCAUUUUCUAUUUAUUUUGAUAAAAAGAGUUUUAUGUUUAAAGCAAACGAUAUUUGAAAUGUUUACACAUUGCAAUUGGUGUGAUGAUCAGUCUGUCCACAUUUUAUACACUGUUGAAACAAAAUAAAACUAUUUAUUAAAACUGA